rnacentral:rRNA from 1 species
ACAAUGGAGAGUUUGAUCCUGGCUCAGGAUGAACGCUAGCGGCAGGCCUAAUACAUGCAAGUCGAACGGGAUUUAAUCUGAAGCUUGCUUUAGAUUAAUGAGAGUGGCGUACGGGUGCGUAACGCGUGAGCAACCUACCCAUAUCAGGGGGAUAGCCCGGCGAAAGUCGGAUUAACACCGCAUAACAUUAGUAAGUGGCAUCAUUUAUUAAUCAAAUAUUUAUAGGAUAUGGAUGGGCUCGCGUGACAUUAGCUAGUUGGUAAGGUAACGGCUUACCAAGGCUUCGAUGUCUAGGGGCUCUGAGAGGAGAAUCCCCCACACUGGUACUGAGACACGGACCAGACUCCUACGGGAGGCAGCAGUAAGGAAUAUUGGUCAAUGGAGGGAACUCUGAACCAGCCAUGCCGCGUGCAGGAUGACUGCCCUAUGGGUUGUAAACUGCUUUUAUACGGGAAUAAACCUAGGUACGUGUACCUAGCUGAAUGUACUGUAAGAAUAAGGAUCGGCUAACUCCGUGCCAGCAGCCGCGGUAAUACGGAGGAUCCAAGCGUUAUCCGGAUUUAUUGGGUUUAAAGGGUGCGUAGGCGGCUAAUUAAGUCAGGAGUGAAAUACGGCAGCUCAACUGUCGCAGUGCUUUUGAUACUGGUUAGCUUGAAUGUGGACGAAGAUGGCGGAAUGAGACAAGUAGCGGUGAAAUGCAUAGAUAUGUCUCAGAACUCCGAUUGCGAAGGCAGCUGUCUAGGUCAUUAUUGACGCUGAUGCACGAAAGCGUGGGGAUCAAACAGGAUUAGAUACCCUGGUAGUCCACGCCCUAAACGAUGAUAACUCGAUGUUAGCGAUAUACUGUUAGCGUCUUAGCGAAAGCGUUAAGUUAUCCACCUGGGGAGUACGGUCGCAAGAUUGAAACUCAAAGGAAUUGACGGGGGCCCGCACAAGCGGAGGAGCAUGUGGUUUAAUUCGAUGAUACGCGAGGAACCUUACCCGGGCUUGAAAGUUAGUGCUUGAUGCAGAGACGCAUCAUUCCUUCGGGACACGAAACUAGGUGCUGCAUGGCUGUCGUCAGCUCGUGCCGUGAGGUGUUGGGUUAAGUCCCGCAACGAGCGCAACCCCUAUGUUUAGUUGCCAGCAUGUUAUGGUGGGNNNNNNNNNNNNNNNNNNNNNNNNNNNNNNNNNNNNNNNNNNNNNNNNNNNNNNNNNNNNNNNNNNNNNNNNNNNNNNUUGCCAGCAUGUUAUGGUGGGGACUCUAAACAGACUGCCUGCGCAAGCAGUGAGGAAGGAGGGGACGACGUCAAGUCAUCAUGGCCCUUACGUCCGGGGCUACACACGUGCUACAAUGGACGGUACAACGGGCAGCUACACUGCAAAGUGAUGCUAAUCUCUAAAAGCCGUUCACAGUUCGGAUCGGGGUCUGCAACUCGACCCCGUGAAGUUGGAUUCGCUAGUAAUCGUGUAUCAGCAAUGACGCGGUGAAUACGUUCCCGGGCCUUGUACACACCGCCCGUCAAGCCAUGAAAGUUGGGGGUGCCUAAAGCAUGUAACCGCAAGGAGCGUGUUAGGGCAAAACCGAUAAUUGGGGCUAAGUCGUAACAAGGUAGCCGUACCGGAAGGUGCGGCUGGAAUACCUCCUUU